rnacentral:lncRNA from 1 species
GGGCUGAGGUGCUGUCUGGGCCUCUGUGAAGACAUAUUGUUGUUGGGGGAAGUGACUCAGAGUCCUGCCAGGCAAUGUUUUUCUAACCUAAUCAGGAAGGUGAACUGACAUCCUGUAGUGGGAACUAAAGCCCAAGGGCACUCCCUUGAGCCCAUCAGCAGACCUUUCAUACCCUGGGAUACCGUGGAGGCUCCUUCUAUUCAAUGCUCCCAGGCUUGAAUAUCCAGAACCUACCUCCUCCAUGCCCCUCAUUUUCCAAGUCUGGAAGAACUCCUGACUUCUGGGCUGCCUCAGCUCUUAAAGCUGGAAAUAAAGGGCCAGCCCUCCCUCUGUGCCUUUUUGG